rnacentral:rRNA from 1 species
GACGAACGCUGGCGGCGUGCCUAAUACAUGCAAGUAGAACGCUGAAGGCGGACCUUGCUUCUCUGGUUGAGUUGCGAACGGGUGAGUAACGCGUAGGUAACCUGCCUGGUAGCGGGGGAUAACUAUUGGAAACGAUAGCUAAUACCGCAUAAUAUCUACUACUGCAUGAUAGUCAGUUGAAAGGUGCAACUGCUCCACUUCCAGUUGCACCUGCGGUGCUUUAGCUUGUUGGUGGGGUAACGCCUCGCCAUGGCGAGGAUGCAUAGCCGACCGGAGAGGGUGGGCAGCCGCACUGGGAGGGUGACACGGCCCAUAGGCCUACAGGUGGCAGCAGGAGGGAAUCUGCGGGAAGGGGCGGAAGACUGACCGAGCAACGCGGCAGGAGGGAGGAAGGUUGUCGGAUCGUAAAGCUCGGUUGUAGGGGAAGAACGAGUGUGAGAGUGGAAAGCUCACACUGUGACGGUAACUGACCAGAAAGGGACGGCUAACUACGUG